ACUGUUUGAUGUUCAGUACUACUUGAAUGGGUAAUUAAUAAAAUCGGRNGGGUGGGGUGAUAAAUUAGUCGUUGGCUUGWAUAUCUGUUUUUCGGGUUUUGUUUUCUGUUUACUGUGUUAGUGAUGAGAUUAACACAGAUGCUAUAUCAUGUGUUAAUUACUUAUUUGCUGGGGUUAGGGUUACCCGUGUAUUAUGGAGUAUGUUAUUAUUCUGAUGGUAAUUAGGUUGAUUAGCGGUAUCUCCCGACUUGAGUUAACUGUAAAAUUGGGUUGAUAGUUUAAUUAGUAAUUAUAAUAGCGGUAAACUAUCUCAAACCCAACCCAACUGUUUAUUAAAAACAUUGCUGCUUAUUCUGUGUUAAGCAGUAUUACCUGCCCGGUGUGUUAUUAACGGCCGCAGUAUUAUGACUGUGCGAAGGUAGCAUAAUUAAUUGCCCUAUAAUUGGGGGCUUGUUUGAAUGGUUUAAUGUGGCUGGUUCUAAGUUUAUUGUUAUUAGUGAAUUUAAUGCGGGUGGUACAGAAUCCUCCUAAUUUAGUAAGACGGAAAGACCCCAGGAUCUUUUUUUUUGYCUGGGGCAGAUUGGCGUUAUUUAGGCUAUUUUUGACCCUCUGAGUAGAGAUUUAAGUUACCCUGGGGAUAACAGAGUAAUGGGUAGUUAGAGAUCUUAUCGAUCUACCCGAUUGCUACCUCGAUGUUGACUUGGGUUUCCCCAACGGCGCAGUAGUCGUUGGG
rnacentral:rRNA from 1 species